AACGAACGCUGGCGGCAUGCCUAACACAUGCAAGUCGAACGAUGCUUUCGGGCAUAGUGGCGCACGGGUGCGUAACGCGUGGGAAUCUGCCCUUGGGUUCGGAAUAACAGUGAGAAAUUGCUGCUAAUACCGGAUGAUGUCUUCGCACCAAAGAUUUAUCGCCCAGGGAUGAGCCCGCGUAGGAUUAGCUAGUUGGUGGGGUAAUGGCCUACCAAGGCGACGAUCCUUAGCUGGUCUGAGAGGAUGAUCAGCCACACUGGGACUGAGACACGGCCCAGACUCCUACGGGAGGCAGCAGUGGGGAAUAUUGGACAAUGGGCGCAAGCCUGAUCCAGCAAUGCCGCGUGAGUGAUGAAGGCCUUAGGGUUGUAAAGCUCUUUUACCCGGGAUGAUAAUGACAGUACCGGGAGAAUAAGCUCCGGCUAACUCCGUG
rnacentral:rRNA from 1 species